CUGCUAAAUUGCUUACAUUAGAAAUUUACCUAAAUUUACUGUACAUAUUAUAUUUAAUUAUUGAUUCAUAAAAUCCUACUUAGUAUUUACAAAAACGGCUACUUAUAAUUGCUAUAUACAAUGAAAAUUAAAAACUAGGAAUGAACUUAAAUCUAAUGGAAUUAAAAUAAAAUGAAUCCAAAUAUUAAACAAAUAUCGAAAAUAAAAAUACGGAAAGCAUCUGGCCCAUCCCUAUUCCUAUCCCGCUUCACACCCGUAACUACCGUAACGUAGCACUGACAUCUGCGCUGUCAAGCGUCAAUCAACCACCACUUUCGGCAGCGUUCACCAACACAAGCCCGAAAAAAAAGAGCUAAAAGGAGCGGAACGACGCGGGAUCAACUCUCUGAUAGGUGAACCGCCAAAAGUAGCACAAGGCUAGUGCGCGAAUUUACUUGUUUCUUUUUUCGUGUUCUGCAGUGGUCCGAUCACUUUUACUCCCGGAGUGCAAAAGAAUUUGUGAAGUGUACUGUAUCAUCGGAAUUUUGUGAAAACGCCAUCGGCCGUCACCAUCGCUGUGAAGAAAUCUUCGAACCACGUUUUGGUCCCGUCGUCGCCGCCAUCGUAGCAGGCAUCCAAAGCGUCAGCGUCAUCGUUGCAAGCACCCAAAGCGUCAGCGUCAUCGGCGUGCCAAGCUUGGCCCGGUGGACGCGUAGGUUUGUCAGGCACAGUCAGCACGAAGGCGGGCUAAAUAUCAAACUGUUUUGGAAACGACACCUCCCCCCCUUCCCGGCGUGCCCUCUUCGGCCUUCGGACAUCACGAUCACUUCAAGGAACCAUCACCCAGUGACCACCGGCGUGCCUCUCUUGGCCCGGUAUCUCCGUACCUUUGUCAUCCCCGUCAUCGAGGUCCGACGGAACCGCUAUUGCGCAAGAAUGUUACUCCACCGGAGGGUACGUGCCCGGUCGGAAACGAGCCUCGGGAGCGAUGAGGUGCAUCUUCACAAUGCUUCGUAAAACUACCGUUACUUUUUCUCUUGGCUGCGGUGUGAAAAAAAAACUACUUCAACCACGACAGAAGCAAAGUUCCGGAUCAACUGAAAUUAUAGGUACAUCAUGAUAUUUGCUUCGACUAUAGUUGUCCAUAAUCGUCACCCCUGGUGGGCAUUAAAAAAAUAAUCUUUUCGGACUACAUAUUUGGAUACAUGGAUAUGGAACAGAAAACAUAAAAAUAUAACGAGUUUUGAAAAGAAUAAAAUAUGUGUGUCGUAUAAAAAUGGCUAAUUGUUGAUUAUUUUACAAUUAAAAAGAAAAAUCUUAAUGGAAGGGAGGAACGGGUGGGAAUAUGCGUAUGUAACAACAAUCAAAAUAUUAGUUUGAAUCAAACAAUGCUAAUAUUUGAUUUAAGCUAGUAUUUGGUUGU